rnacentral:tRNA from 1 species
ACCGAAUUGGUGUAGGGGUUAACAUUCGGGAUUCUCAGUCUCAAAUGACGAUCUUCCCGAGCCAGGAGUUCGAGUCUCCUAUUCGGUG